ACUCUAUCACUUCUCUCAUUUGAUGUUGCAGUUUAGAUUCUCUUCACCUUUGAUAUAUCCCUAUUUUUACUGAUUUUAUCUAUGUUUUAGGUAUAGGAUUUUGAGUCUUUAUGUUAUUUCUCGAGUCUUUUUAGUGUCUUUUCAGGUAUUUUAUGCAUUGAGACAACAUUGGAGAUGAGGAGACAUUUUGGAGCAAAAGCUAAGGAAAAGGAAGCUAAGGACGAUCUCGGAUUCCAGAUUCAGAGGAAGUGUCGAUCGACACCAGGAGUGUAGGAUUUUGAUAUAUCUCUAUUUUUACUG
rnacentral:sRNA from 1 species